GAUGAACGCUGGCGGCGUGCCUAAUACAUGCAAGUCGAGCGAACGGACGAGAAGCUUGCUUUUCUGAUGUUAGCGGCGGACGGGUGAGUAACACGUGGAUAACCUACCUAUAAGACUGGGAUAACUUCGGGAAACCGGAGCUAAUACCGGAUAAUAUUUUGAACCGCAUGGUUCAAAAGUGAAAGACGGUCUUGCUGUCACUUAUAGAUGGAUCCGCGCUGCAUUAGCUAGUUGGUAAGGUAACGGCUUACCAAGGCAACGAUGCAUAGCCGACCUGAGAGGGUGAUCGGCGACACUGGAACUGAGACGCGGUCCAGACUCCUACGGGAGGCAGCAGUAGGGAAUCUUCCGCAAUGGGCGAAAGCCUGACGGAGCAACGCCGCGUGAGUGAUGAAGGUCUUCGGAUCGUAAAACUCUGUUAUUAGGGAAGAACAUAUGUGUAAGUAACUGUGCACAUCUUGACGGUACCUAAUCAGAAAGCCACGGCUAACUACGUG
rnacentral:rRNA from 1 species